UACAGAGGGGGCAAGCGUUGUUCGGAAUUACUGGGCGUAAAGGGCGCGUAGGCGGCCUUCUAAGUCAGACGUGAAAUCCCUCGGCUCAACCGGGGAACGGCGUCUGAGACUGGAAGGCUUGAAUCCGGAAGAGGGAUGUGGAAUUCCAGGUGUAGCGGUGAAAUGCGCAGAUAUCAGGAGGAACACCGGUGGCGAAGGCGGAUCUCUGGGCCGAUACUGACGCUGAGGAGCGAAAGCGUGGGGAGCAAACAGG
rnacentral:rRNA from 1 species